UGUAUAUAUCAGUCUCCAAAGCAGUCUGCCUGUGAUCACCAAUGUACACUGCCAAGCAGAAGAGUCAGACAGAUCUGGGUUCUUGACCUGUCUGUCUCAAGUUCAUCUCCCCUUUUCAGCCAUUUCAACAGACUACUUGUUGGAGCUCUGACAUGACAUUUUGUUGUUUUAUAUAGAUGCGUCUUUUAAAAAUAGUUCAUGUUUGGAGAAUUCUUUUGUACUCAUUUGCUUUUUGUCCAAGAACCAUGUCUAUUUUUAUAACUUGAGUGUGAGUUCUAUAUAUUCUUACAUUCUGUAUACUGUCUCCAUUUUCUAGGGAACCCAGUAGCUUUUAUACAGGCUCUUUCUUCUUACCAGCCCUUGUGGUUUCAGAACAAGCUUUAUUUUAUUACAGGUAUACUAAUGAUAACUCCUGUUCCAGUUCUACCAGCCAUUUUAGUUGUGGAGUUAGUUUUAUAGAACCUCUUUGAUGGCUCCUUUAGCUGACAGAAGGAACUCAAAAGAUACCUGAUGUCUUUCAUAUAAGUUUACCUGGUUUCCUCCUACUGAAGAAUGAUUUCUCAUCAGAAAUGACUGGGACAAUUUGGGAAAGUCAGUUAAAAGCAAGAAUAAUUCAUUACAAAAGCAGACAGAAGAAAACAGUAUAUUUGCCUUUUUUUUUUUUCUUUUCUGCCCCCCAGGAAGUCUGGAGAAAAAGUCCUCCCAUCACCAGUUUCUCUGCUGCAUGAAUUUUAGUGUUUUGCUGUAAGACAGCAUGAGGGUUAUCAGACUAAAAUUUGUUAUUGUAUUUUCAGUACAAUUUGUCUUGAAUGUUAAGUCAGUUUUGUCAGUAUUCUUUCAGCAAACAUUCUUUCCAUUAUGUAAAUUUAAAUUUUCAGAGGAAAUUAAAUCAGAGCAAAUUUUCAGAGUCCUUUACCUUCUUUGUCUUUUAUCUCUGUGUCCUUUGGAAAAGAAGCUGCGUGGCCUUGGUUCCUCCACAGAAAGCUUAAGUUGAUUUCAUAGCUCAUUAACCUCAGAGGCCAUGGGUAAUAAUGAAGCACCCCCAUUACAGGAUGGCACGCCAGUAUGUUUUUGUAAAAUGUGUUGGUAAUCCUCAUUCUACUUUCUAAACAGGAGCCUAUUCUAGGAGUGUGCAUUGAUUCAUUCUGGUUUGAACAGUCUCCUAUUUGAUAUAUAGGAGACCUAUUGACUUAAGAGUAUUGCCCCCUGUUGGCAUUUGUGUGGGACAGUCCAUCCUGCUACCGCUGAAGUUCUUUGAGAAAACUAAAGAACUAGAAAUGUUUAGAGCUCAUGAAAUAAUCUCUAAACCCAAUUUAAAAAGUGACCCUGUCAUAAAAACUAAGUUAAUAAAAAGUUCAUUUCCUUAAACAGUCUUCAUUUAAAAACUGAAGACUAUUCUCACUCAGUUAACUAAAGUAGCUGGAAUUGGAAAAUUUUACAAUUUCUACCUAAAGAAUUUAGGUUAAAUUUACUUGGUACUGAAAUGGCUAUCCUACUAACUGACCAACUUCUCAGCUCUUUUUGACCAGGAUGGUUGUACAUUAAGGAAGUUAUCUUUAUGCCCUAUAUUUAGGUCAUAAUUAUAAUAAUUUUCAUUUCCCCCAUAAAAUAAGCAUUAUGAUUGCACACUUCUUCUAUUGUCUGAAUUUAUGUAAGAGGGUAUAGCUUGCUUAAAAUAUAUAUGUAAAGUUAUAUUUUCUUAGAAACAUGGAUGUUUGCAACCAUUGCUUUUGAAGAGAUUACUGUCAUGUAUUGUUUUACGUUUUCAUAAAGAUUGUGUUAUACCAGAG
ensembl:lncRNA